UUCACUUUCAGCAUAAUGCCUUGGAUCCCUAACAACAUGACGCUGGAAGCAGUGGCCACAACACACUUUUAGACCUGUUUUAAUGGCAUGAGAGUACAGAUCGUGCAGGUGAAAGACUCAACAACACAUUUUCCAGCCUAACAGCAACCUCAAGAGGCCUACAAUGUGCAGGAAGUGCAGAAAGCAAGUGUCUCGCGACUUGUUUGAUAGAGAAUGUCUUUAGACUGCGCACCUACCCAACAGAAGCAGAGUUCAGGGACAUAGACAGCAGAAGAAAAGAAAUUUAUACAGGUUUGGAACAACUUGAGGGUAUCUCUCAGCCCAGCCCGCUUCGCCCUUUUCUGCCUGUUCCGUUCCAGCCUGUCUUUCGCUCAUGUUCUGGUUGUUUAACCGCCACAGUUUGUAUCUUUCGCUCCUUUGGUUUACCGCCCCAGGUAACCAUGCCAUCCAGGCACUGUCGGUUGCCAGCCGACUUUUUUCUUUUGUGUCCAACCGUCUCUCUCUUUGGUUUACCGCCCCAAGUAACCAUGCCAUCCAGACACUGUCGGUUGCCAGCCGACAUUCUUUCUUUGGUUUACUGCCCCAGGUAACCAUGCCAUCCAGGCACUGUCGGUUGCCAGCCGACUCUGUUGAGGUGGGGUUUGAACCCAUACCUCUAUGAUCAUCUUGUCCGCAACUAACGUGUGUUUAGCCACUAGGACCAUCGUGGCUUUCACACCGAGAGUUGACAUUUGGGCCACUUUGUCGGAUAUAGUGUAGUUUACAACAAUUUAAUGUAAGCAAGAGGUAGACUCGAACCCGGGUCUCCAAGAUUAAAACGCAACAUUUUAUAAGCUGAGCUACAGAGUCCAGCGAGAUUUUCGAUGCUUUGGGCGAGGCUUUAUUGAUAGGUUUGUUUUAUUAGAUAAAAAAGCAUUAAGUAUUGUUGGAUUCGAACCUACACCUCUAGCGUUGGCUUUUACUUCGAAAGCAUACGCUUAACCACUAGCGCCACUGUGGCUUUCAUAUUGAGUAGUGGCGUUUAUGCCACUACUCAAUAUAGAUAUAAUGACAAAAAUGUAACAAGCAAUAGGUGGACUUGAACCCGGGUCUCCAAGAUUAAAACGCAACUCUUUAUGAUUUGCGCCACAAAGUCUGACAGUUUCGUGGUUGUUUUGGACGGGGUUUUAUUGAGAGGUUUGUUUUAUAAGAUAACAAACAUAAGUGAUUGAAGGAUUCGAACCUACAUCUCUAUUGUAGACUUUUACUCAGAAAACGCACGCUUAACCACUUGCACCACUGUGGCCUUCACGAUAAGCGUUGGCAUUUAGGAUGCUUUGUUAGAUAUGAUGACAAAAUAUGUAACGUAAACAAUAGGUGGAUUCGAACCCGGGUCUCCAAGAUAAAUAUGCAACACUUUAUGACCUGUGCCACCAAGUCUGGCGAAUUUAUGAUGGUUUUGGACGGGGUUUUAUUGAGAGGUUUGUUUUAUAAGAUGACAAUUAUAAGCGAUUGAAGGAUUUGAACCUACAAAAAUGUAACGUAAGCAAUAGGUGGAUUCGAACCCUGGUCUCUAAGAUUAAAACGCAACACUUUAAACACUGCGCCACCGAGUCUGGUGAUUUCAUGUUUUGUUUGGACAGGGUUUUAUUGAAAGCUUUGUUUUAUAAGAUGAUAAGUAUAAGCAAUCAAAAGAUUCGAACCUACGUCUCUAUUAUAGCCUUUUAUUCAGGAAGCACGCACUUAACCACUUGCACCACUGUGGCCUUCACGUUAAUUGUUGGCGUUUAGGGCGCUUUGUUAGAUAUAACGACAAAAAUGUAACGUAAGCAAUAGGUGGAUUCGAACCCCGAUCUCCAAGAUAAAAACACAACACUUUAUAAACUGUGCCAUAGAGUCUGGCAAGUUUGUGUUAGUUUUGGGCAGGGUUUUAUUGAGAGCUUUGUUUUAAAACUUAAAAACAUAAGCAACUGAGGGAUUAACUUAGUUAAAUUCGAAAAAAAAACUUAAGCUUUACGCCACUGAGUUUGACACAAGUAUUUUGUUUUGAAAGCUUUUAUAUUGUCUUGUCACAUGAAAACUUGAGCCAAAGGUGUGACAGCUUGUAAAUUUGUAAAUGUCUUUGUUUCAAAACCGCUUUUUUUUUUUUUUGAGUUUUGUCUAAGACUUUUCAAUAAAAAAAGAUUGAAGAUGAGAUAAGGUCAUUUUUCCCCAAAGUUAAGCAACAAGUUGUCAAUAAAGCAAAUCACCAAAUCUGAAAAGAAAAUAAUAUAGAUAUUUGCUGAAUUGAUACUUGCUUGCUUUAAAACAGUUGUACAAACCCCAUAUCUUAAUACUAAACAGCACUGAGAAUGUUUUUAAACAGAUUUCAUGUCUCAUGGCGCUCAUGUUUUUAAAACCAAAGAUGAUUCAAAAGAAUCAAGAUUCAUUGUUAAUGAAUCAAGAUUCGAAACAGUGUGCAGGAUACUCAUUUCACACAUAAACCACAAUGAUGGUGACAAGUAAAUCACUAAGGGUACAACUGUACUCAAACAUCUCAUCACAUGACACAACCCAACAAAAACAACAACUUAAGUGCAAACAAUGCAAUAAACAGUAAAAAUUUUCACUAAUAUACAUUUUAGUCAUGCCACAAUGCAUGCUGGGAAAAAUCCAACACCCAGCACCACAGAAAUUACUUUUUUUUUUUUUUUAUUGUAUUCAUUGAUGAAUUAAACUGUAUAACUGACUGAUUGUUUCAUUUGCUUUCAGGUUCUUGGAUGCUUCAUUUAGAUGAACAUCACUGGGAUGCAUAUGCUGAUGUAAUUCCCAAUACCUCUUCAUGAGUUUUCUGUCAACACUCAAAAAUGCAUCAACUGCACGCCACCCAGUGGUGUAAUGGUGUAAUGGUAAGGAGUGAAUAAAUCUGUGAACGAAUUUGAACAAAUCUUUUUAGUGAAUACAAGAGAACGAUUCAAGUAAAAUGAAUCAAAAUCAACACCACUAAUAUUUUAGCAUGCAGUGCUUGUGAACCAAAACAAAUUACUUGUGUAUGUGAGCAUACUUGGCCAAUAAAACUUUUUUUCUGA